GACUCUGUGGCGAAACGGUAGCGCGUCUGCCUCCAGAUCAGAAGGUUGCGUGUUCAAAUCACGUCAGUGUUU
rnacentral:tRNA from 1 species